CGCCUCUUGCAAAAGCUAAAAAUAAGAGGUCCCGCCUGCCCUGUGACUAUUUGUUUAACGGCCGCGGUAUUUUGACCGUGCGAAGGUAGCGCAAUCACUUGUCUUUUAAAUGGAGACCCGUAUGAAUGGCAUAACGAGGGCUUAACUGUCUCCUCUUUCAAGUCAAUGAAAUUGAUCUUUCCGUGCAGAAGCGGGAAUAUAAACAUAAGACGAGAAGACCCUAUGGAGCUUUAGACACUACAGCAGCCCACGUUAAGCACCCUGAAUAAAGGACUAAACCAAGUGGGCCCUGCUUUGAUGUCUUUGGUUGGGGCGACCGCGGGGAAUUAAAUAACCCCCAUGUGGAACGGGAAUACUUUUCCUACAACUAAGAGCUACAGCUCUAGUAAACAGAACUUCUGACCAGCAAGAUCCGGCAAUGCCGAUCAACGGACCGAGUUACCCUAGGGAUAACAGCGCAAUCCUCUUUUAGAGCCCAUAUCGACAAGGGGGUUUACGACCUCGAUGUUGGAUCAGGACAUCCUAAUGGUGCAGCCGCUAUUAAGGGUUCGUUUGUUCAACGAUUAAAGUCCUACGU
rnacentral:rRNA from 1 species